rnacentral:rRNA from 1 species
GACGAACGCUGGCGGCGUGCUUAACACAUGCAAGUCGAACGGAAAGGCCCUGCUUUUGUGGGGUGCUCGAGUGGCGCACGGGUGUGUCACACGUGUAUAACCUGCCCUUGACUUUGGGAUAACUUCAGGAAACUGGGGCUAAUCCCGGAUAGGAGCCCCUGCUGCGUGGUGGGGGUUGGAAAGUUUCGGCGGUUGGGGGUGGACUCGCGGCUUAUCAGCUUGUUGGUGGGGUAGUGGCUUACCAAGGCUUUGACGGGUAGCCGGCCUGAGAGGGUGCCCGGCCACAUUGGGACGGGGAUACGGCCCAGACUCCUACGGGAGGCAGCAGUGGGGAAUAUUGCACAAUGGGCGGAAGCCUGAUGCAGCAACGCCGCGGGCGGGAUGACGGCCUUCGGGUUGUAAACCGCUUUCGCCUGUGACGAAGCGUGAGUGACGGUAAUGGGUAAAGAAGCACCGGCUAACUACGUG